AGUCGAACGGCAGCGCGGGGCAACCUGGCGGCGAGUGGCGAACGGGUGAGUAAUAUAUCGGAACGUACCCAAGAGUGGGGGAUAACGCAGCGAAAGUUGCGCUAAUACCGCAUACGAUCUAAGGAUGAAAGCAGGGGACCGCAAGGCCUUGUGCUCCUGGAGCGGCCGAUAUCUGAUUAGCUAGUUGGUGAGGUAAAGGCUCACCAAGGCGACGAUCAGUAGCUGGUCUGAGAGGACGACCAGCCACACUGGAACUGAGACACGGUCCAGACUCCUACGGGAGGCAGCAGUGGGGAAUUUUGGACAAUGGGCGCAAGCCUGAUCCAGCAAUGCCGCGUGAGUGAAGAAGGCCUUCGGGUUGUAAAGCUCUUUUGUCAGGGAAGAAACGGUGGGAGCUAAUAUCUCCUACUAAUGACGGUACCUGAAGAAUAAGCACCGGCUAACUACGUGCCAGCAGCCGCGGUAAUACGUAGGGUGCAAGCGUUAAUCGGAAUUACUGGGCGUAAAGCGUGCGCAGGCGGUUUUGUAAGUCUGUCGUGAAAGCCCCGGGCUCAACCUGGGAAUUGCGAUGGAGACUGCAAGGCUUGAAUCUGGCAGAGGGGGGUAGAAUUCCACGUGUAGCAGUGAAAUGCGUAGAGAUGUGGAGGAACACCGAUGGCGAAGGCAGCCCCCUGGGUCAAGAUUGACGCUCAUGCACGAAAGCGUGGGGAGCAAACAGGAUUAGAUACCCUGGUAGUCCACGCCCUAAACGAUGUCUACUAGUUGUCGGGUUUUAAUUAACUUGGUAACGCAGCUAACGCGUGAAGUAGACCGCCUGGGGAGUACGGUCGCAAGAUUAAAACUCAAAGGAAUUGACGGGGACCCGCACAAGCGGUGGAUGAUGUGGAUUAAUUCGAUGCAACGCGAAAAACCUUACCUACCCUU
rnacentral:rRNA from 1 species